GACGAACGCUGGCGGCGUGCCUAAUACAUGCAAGUCGAGCGAAGUUUUUCUGGUGCUUGCACCGGAAAAACUUAGCGGCGAACGGGUGAGUAACACGUAAAGAACCUGCCUCAUAGACUGGGACAACUAUUGGAAACGAUAGCUAAUACCGGAUAAUAGCAUUAACUGCAUGGUUGAUGUUUAAAAGUUGGUUUUGCUAACACUAUGAGAUGGCUUUGCGGUGCAUUAGCUAGUUGGUGGGGUAAAGGCCUACCAAGGCGACGAUGCAUAGCUGACCUGAGAGGGUGAUCGGCCACACUGGGACUGAGACACGGCCCAGACUCCUACGGGAGGCAGCAGUAGGGAAUCUUCCGCAAUGGGCGAAAGCCUGACGGAGCAACGCCGCGUGAGUGAAGAAGGAUUUCGGUUCGUAAAGCUCUGUUGUUAGGGAAGAAUGAUUGUGUAGUAACUAUACACAGUAGAGACGGUACCUAACCAGAAAGCCACGGCUAACUACGUG
rnacentral:rRNA from 1 species